rnacentral:rRNA from 1 species
AGGCCAUGCUAUCGGAGUCGGAUUUAGCCAUGCUAGUUGCACGAGUUUAGACUCGUAGCAUAUAGCUCAGUAACACGUGGCCAAACUACCUUACAGACCCCGAUAACAUCGGGAAACUGAGGCCAAUAGCGGAUAUAACUCUCAGACUGGAGUGUCGAGAGUUAGAAACGUUCCGGCGCUGUAGGAUGUGGCUGCGGCCGAUUAGGUAGAUGGUGGGGUAACGGCCCACCAUGCCGAUAAUCGGUACGGGUUGUGAGAGCAAGAGCCUGGAGACGGUAUCUGAGACAAGAUACCGGGCCCUACGGGGCGCAGCAGGCGCGAAACCUUUACACUGCACGACAGUGCGAUAGGGGGACUCCGAGUGUGAGGGCAUAUAGCCCUCGCUUUUCUGUACCGUAAGGUGGUACAGGAACAAGGACUGGGCAAGACCGGUGCCAGCCGCCGCGGUAAUACCGGCAGUCCAAGUGAGGCCGAUAUUAUGGGCCUAAGCGUCGUAGCU